AAGGUUAUUAUGCCUUCUAGAAUAGUCGCUAGAGAGAGAGGGUCAGCGAGUUUUUUGGCUUAGCAGAGAUGGAGAAAAAUCUGAAGACCACUACCCCUGUCAGGCCAUACUCUCGCCAUCGUACAACUUAAAAAAAUUCUACAAUGAAUUGGGCCACAAUAGAUUUUAUUGACGGUGUUGCCCCACAAUUUCAGAUGAAUAAGCAACAGUCCUCCAAGAACUUCUCAGGCAUUUUCUACCCAAACAUCAACCCAACUGUGUAGAAAAAAGUUUUAAACACCCAAAAGUGGAUAUGAUAGGUAAGAUCACCAUCAUGCAAUUGCUGCUGAAAAGUUGCCAGACUUAAAAUCCUUUUGUAAGUUUUUGCUUCCUUUUAAUUUGCUUCUUCGGUUUGAUUUGUAAAAAGAGUUUGGACUGUCAAAUGAUCUUCAUCGUCCCAUUUUUCUUAUAACUGUAGCCUUUUGUAAUUUCCUAUCACUGAAUUAUUUAAAAAAAAAAAAAAAUUGAAUGCGUUUAUAUUUGUAAUUAUUUAUAGCUAUGAAUUUAUUUUCUCAUGCUCAACCUUUACCAUUUUGAUGUAAAGAAUUGUUGUAUUUUUUUGUUUAUAUGGAUCAUAUUGUUUGAGUUUUGUGUUUUGGUUUAUUAUCAUUUACUGCUUUCGUAAUUUUCUGUUAUGGUUUGUGCCUAUGAAAAACUUUUUGAACAAUUUGGUGGGUUAUUCCUAUGAAAAGCAUGAUAACUAUGAAUUUUGAACUACUUAUUGCUUAUCUAGAAACCACAAUUAGAUAUAUACAGAUAAGGAAGAGUUUCUUAGAAAAGAAAAUUAGAGUUUAAAUGAGAACCCAUAUCCAGAAAAAAAGUGCCACUACCAAUAAAUGUUUUUAUUUUAUUUUAUUAUUAUAUAUGAUUUAAGUUUGUAUAUUUUGGUUGGAUUGGUUUUGAUUAAGGUAUUUAGGUUAGAAUUCAUUUUGUUUUGGGUUAUUAACCAAAUCCAAGUUUUUUUAGGUUGUAAUGAAACUGCAAGUGGUAUGUCAGUAUAGACUUUUUUAAUAUUAAAUGAUCUUAUAUGAAAUAUAAACAAGUCUAUGUGCUUAGUGUACCUUAAGUGACUAAAUAGUGAUCACCUAAAUUUUUACAGAAUAACUAAGCAUAAUCCUCACAUGAAGCUUUGUGUGUGUGUGUGUUGUUACUUUUUAAUUGUCUUGGUUGUUUGUAGUUGUUUUGGGCAGUAAUAUAAAUUUUACCGUGAAGGAUACUUUGACGAACAUUUUCUUUCAUUCUUUUUUUUAUUUUUUUUCCAGCUAAAGUACUUGCCUCUUUGUAAUAAAAAAAUUCCAACUGAGGUUUUGUGCUUUCUUUCAUCAAGCCAGUGAGUUAGGGUGCUUAGAUUUGGUGCAAAUGUGACUUUUACUUGAAAACAUCAACUGACAAUCAGGUGGAAUGCUCAUAUAGCAUUGAGCAAUCUUGAUAACUCUUGCAACUACUAUUGGCUUGCAAGAAGAAUGGGAGGACAUGCAUUUGUUAUAGCAAUGAUUUUUCCAAAGGGUUUAGUUUGAUUUGCAUUCUACAUAUUGAAAUGUUCCCUCAAACAUCACUAUGUUAGCUUUAAAAGUUACUAUUGCUUCAUAUAUAUAUAUAUAUAUAUAUAUAUAUUUUUUUUUUUUUUUUUCUUUUUCAAUGGCUGGUUGUAGUAAUUGUGAAAUACUAAAGCCAAGAGUGUGAAGUAGUUGCAGAUUUUUUGGGGCUGUUUGCUUUU